GAGUUUGAUCAUGGCUCAGAUUGAACGCUGGCGGCAGGCCUAACACAUGCAAGUCGAGCGGAUGAAGGGAGCUUGCUCCUGGAUUCAGCGGCGGACGGGUGAGUAAUGCCUAGGAAUCUGCCUGGUAGUGGGGGAUAACGUCCGGAAACGGGCGCUAAUACCGCAUACGUCCUGAGGGAGAAAGUGGGGGAUCUUCGGACCUCACGCUAUCAGAUGAGCCUAGGUCGGAUUAGCUAGUUGGUGGGUAAAGGCCUACCAAGGCGACGAUCCGUAACUGGUCUGAGAGGAUGAUCAGUCACACUGGAACUGAGACACGGUCCAGACUCCUACGGGAGGCAGCAGUGGGGAAUAUUGGACAAUGGGCGAAAGCCUGAUCCAGCCAUGCCGCGUGUGUGAAGAAGGUCUUCGGAUUGUAAAGCACUUUAAGUUGGGAGAAGGGCAGUAAGUUAAUACCUUGCUGUUUGACGUUACCAACAGAAUAAGCACCGGCUAACUUCGUGCCAGCAGCCG
rnacentral:rRNA from 1 species